UGUGAAUGUUGAAUACUAAUUUAACAAGGAGCAGGAUAUAACAACACUAUGAGGAAACAUGAUGCUGUAAAGGACCUAAACUCUUAUUCUCUCUUAAAGCAGAUGCUGCUCGUGCUGCAGUUAAUGGCUUAGACCUGCGACCUUCUCCACAGAAUGUGCUGAGAUGACAAGAGCCACCUCAUCCUGAUGUACCUAGGAAAUUAUACCCUGCCUCCCAGGAGCAACCAAUGCCUAAUUGAUACUCGGAUGCAAAAGCCCUGAUUCCUUCUCUCAAGUCUGGACAACUCUGUGGUGCAAUUUACACUUUAAAACCCACCAUCAAUCAGGUGAAAGCUACACUUAACCUGAGAACACAUUCUUGCUCAACUCCUUUCCCUCCCUAUCCUGCUGCUUCAUUCCCUUAUGGAUUUUUUCUUUUUUUUUUUUCCUGGAUAGCACCCUCAAAAAUUCACAUGCAUCUGAAUCCCUUCUGGACAAACUAACCGAAGACAGUUUGUACCACUAGUGGACCCAGAAAGUAAACUCUAAGAAUAGAAUUAUUGAAUUGGAUCAUCCACCAGCCAACUGGCCAUCGAGACUCCACCACUGGAGAGAGGCAGCUCCUUGAGAAUGUAUUCCAGUAAAAUGAGGAAAUAAAUCAAGAAAGGGGAGAACAUAAGCCCAAGAAGCAAAGACAGAGCAGGAAAAUUUUUUGCUGAGAGAUUUGAGUAGAGAGAGACUGAUAGACCAGAAUAAAUGUCAACAGAGAGUCCAAGAAAAGGCAACUGUAGAAGAAGCCAUCUGUGCUCUGCCCGUUAUCUCUACCCCUGCAAGCAGCCCCAUAGUGCCACCCGCUACCAGUGUCCUUGUCCUCAGAAGUCUUCUCAGCUGACCAGAAGUGACUGUCAGAUGUCCUGGGAGUCAAUGCUGCUGGAGCAAGCCUCUACCGGUGAGAUACUGGCAGGCAUUUUGUCUUGGAGUGACGAUUUGAACAAAGGCUUAGAGGCAGCAGAAAAUUGUUACUGAAGGAUGAAAAAAAGGCAAGCUCAGAAACCGGAGUGAGACAUAUUUGGGCAUAUCUUAUGCUGAACAAGGACCACAGGUAAGGUGGGAAUGGAAGAAGAAGGGAUAAAUACAAAGAAGCCUGAAGGAACCAUGACAAGUUUCUGUGACUGGUUGGAUAUAAUCUACCUUCACUGCCUCAUAAAGGAAGAGGAGAUCUGGAAGGCCACAGAAGGCAAUGAGAGUGUUGGGAUGGCGUAGAGCUUUGGAAGAAUAACAGAUUUAGCCAUUUCAAUUCUUAAGAGAGGAGAUUGACCCAGGAUAUAUGAAUUCUCUCACCUAAUCUUAAAAUUUCCCCUAAAAUAUCCAUCAUUAUGAUGCAAAAACUUCCAAAGUAAAAUAUUUUUGUACCUCUCUUAGUAAAACAAAACUGAAGUCACUCUGUGAUUUUAAGAAAAUUCAUAAAGCCUGAAUAGCAUGAAGUCAUUCUGGGGACUUAGAAAUUAAUCUUGACACAGGAGGACAGGGUAGCAUUUUGGGACUCCACAUUCCGUCUGCUUGGCAUGUAAUCCUUAUAUUGUUAGAAUUGGGAAAAUACCCGAUAUCACAUGAAUAAGAAACAGUCUCCAUUGAAAUAGACAUAGCUGUUGGUGAAAUCUCUUCUCUGUUGCAUGAUUUUGUCAUUCUGUGCAAAAUUCUCUAUGUUAAAUGCUCUGACAGUGGUAUAAGGGAUAUGUACGUAUACAUUUAAAAAAUAGUCUUAGAAAUUCCUUCCUUUAAGGAAGAAAUCAUACCAGCAAAUCAAUAAGAAAUGUCACUUUUAUUGCCAUAUUUCCAUUUAUCAACUAAAACAAUUACUCUUAUCUGCAUUUAUAAACAGCUCUACUCUAGUGUGGGCUGCAAGUUCUUGCAAACCCUCUCAGUGCUCAUUGGUUAGCGACAAGUAUAACCUAAUUUGAAAUACAAUACCUUACACUUAUAUAAUAUUUUCAGUUUAUACAGAGCUUUGUAAUUUUACUCUAACAAAUUCACUCAUUAUUUGUAAUAAUAUAAAAUUUUACUUUCUGGAUGGCAAAGUUUUCUACUCAAUCAUUAAUGCAAUAGGAAAGUAAGUAAACCUAUAGAAGAAUUAAUUCUUUAAGAAUUUAGGAGUAUCCAUUUAAAUAUAAUACAUUAAUAUAAAAAUUAGAAGGAUUUUUUUUUUUGUGGCUAGAUCAGCUCCUCAUAUUUUGGUUUCCAAGUAAUUAUAAUCUACAUCAGAAGGAGUAAAACUAUUCAAAUAUCUUUCUUGAUAAAAUACUUCAUUGCACUUCCCCAAAGUUGCACUGAAUUAUUGCCAUUUGUUUAUAUAUCAGGAAUUCUUCUGCAUACCUUGGCUUAAACUCUCCCCUCUUUUCUAUCACCUCUGU